AACGCUGGCGGCGUGCCUAACACAUGCAAGUCGAACGAAGCUCCUUACUUGAGUUUCGGACAAGAGCAAAGGAUGACUUAGUGGCGGACGGGUGAGUAACGCGCGAGCAACCUGCCUCGGAGUGGGGGACAACAGUUGGAAACGACUGUUAAUACCGCAUGAUGUGUAUGGAAGACAUCUUCCGUACACCAAAGAUUUAUCGCUCUGAGAUGGGCUCACGUCUGAUUAGUUAGUUGGUAGGGUAACGGCCUACCAAGACUGCGAUCAGUAGCCGGACUGAGAGGUCGAACGGCCACAUUGGGACUGAGAUACGGCCCAGACUCCUACGGGAGGCAGCAGUAGGGAAUAUUGGACAAUGGGCGCAAGCCUGAUCCAGCAAUGCCGCGUGCAGGAUGAAGGCCUUCGGGUUGUAAACUGCUUUUGUACGGAACGAAACGGUGAGCUCUAAUAAAGCUUGCUAAUGACGGUACCGUAAGAAUAAGCACCGGCUAACUACGUG
rnacentral:rRNA from 1 species